ensembl:ncRNA lncRNA:CR45981 long non-coding RNA:CR45981
UAAUGUUGUCUCACAAAUUCGCAUAAUAAUAAUCCCUCCUUCGAUAAAGGAAUAGAUUACAGUCAGGUAUAGAUUACAGUGCAGUCCUGGCAACUGGCGGCGGUCAAGCAUAAGAAACAAGCAGCAUCAGCAGCAGAAGAAUUGCAGCAGAAGCGUAGCUGCAGCCCAUAAGUAUGCUAUGGCAACGGAGCGAAGCCCAAGGAAGCGAAGGAAUAAGAGCGCAAAUAAAAACGGUAGACGGCGACUGCUGGAUGCGGAAAACCUCGUCCUCAACUGAGCUCCUUGCCAGGUGAGAUGCCACCGCCAUGUGGCACGAACUACAGUCAACAGCAGGCGUGAUGGCCAAGCCAAGAAAAAACAAGUCAGCAAGACUUGAAUGUAGCUUAGCGAAAUGGGAGAUGCUCUUUCAAUGAAUCAACUAACGAUUUAAAAAGCAAACAUUUAAAUCGAAUAUUUCGUUUAUUAGAAAUUAAUUAAGCAAAGAGCUUAUCAGUUUCAUUUUGAACCUAUAUCAAUUGGCUUGAAACGCAGGACCUUUCAAAAGGGUAUUUCCGGGCGUCAAAGAAAAAGGACCUCGUUCACUGCUCAACCAGGCGGCAAACCAAGUGGUUCGGGGUCCAUGGAGUCCAAGUCCGAGUCCGAGCCAAGUGGCACACCACGUAACCAGCAGAUAGCAGAUACAAGAUUGCCGGUCCGGGUACGGAACUUGCCCCAGACAGAUGCAUAAUAAUGUUAAUGUAAGCGCGAACGACUUGUGGGCUGUGGGUAGAGUAUGGGUUACCAUGGCGUAUGCGUAAUAUGCAAGCAAAUUUCAAGCUAUACUCGGGCGUGUGAGUUGCAGGCCAAAUCGUAAAGUGAACAUUAAAUACUUGGAAAUUAUGUAGUUAGUCAUCUGAAAAUUGGAAAAUU